AAGAUCGCUUAUAACGUUAUUGAUGUUGCGCAGCAUUUAACAAUUGACGUAAAUCUGUGUUUACAACGUCCAAACACUACAGAAAUUAAAUAUGAGAAUGUGCAGCAAUAUACACCUGGCUAUUACUACAGUCUAUUUCGUUCUAUACAAUAUACUCAGACUAGAUGGAUAAGAAGCUCCGACUUCUUAAGCCGAAGAACGAAUGGAAGGUGCGAGCAAGAAACAAAUAAGACUCGAAAUAAAAGAAAUAAAACCUAUGACGGAAAACGAAAAAAAAAAUGUUAUAGGAAAGUGCUUGUGCUGUAAAUCGCGAUGGAUCAUGGUCCCAAAUGUUGUCUUUGCAGAUAUCGGUGUUCGAAAGACUUGACGUAAUGGCGAUGAUGGAUAAAUGUGCCAACUUGUUGGAUAUGAAUGGCGUAAAUCAUGAAAAGACCAACAAAAUGUUUUGGAACGCCACCAAACUUAUUCAAAGGUUACAGUCACAUAAUUAUUGCCUGUUGGUCUCUGUUUCAUUAUACGAUGGUAGAAGUUUAAGUAAGGUGCCCUUAGGUCAGACAUUUCAAUUAUUUGGGAAAGGAAUUUUUAACAAUCUCCAACUUGAAUAGCGGCAAUAAUUAAUCUUUGUAAAAAACAAUAAAAACCUUUUUCAUCUUUUCUCACCCUACAACACAAACAGCUGACGAGAUUGCAGCAGCUGUUCCGUCCAAAACCAAACACAUUAAAAAUGCAGACGUUAGGUGCGCUUCGCGGUGAUUACAAAACAUUUCUUCCUUGACCCAAGCUGGACGAUUGUUAACCGAUAAAGAACUUAGUCGAAAUCCAAAAAGCUCGCUAGGAAUGUAGAAUGCAAUACUAAGGAACUACAAAAUCAUCAGUAUUGGUCGAUGCCCGAGACAGUAAAUUACCUUUAAAGCAAGUACACCCCAUAAU